AGCGAACGCUGGCGGCAGGCUUAACACAUGCAAGUCGAGCGGGCACUUUCGGGUGUCAGCGGCGGACGGGUGAGUAACGCGUGGGAACGUGCCCUCUGGUUCGGAAUAACUCAGGGAAACUUGAGCUAAUACCGGAUACGCCCUUUUGGGGAAAGGCUUGCUGCCGGAGGAUCGGCCCGCGUCUGAUUAGCUAGUUGGUGAGGUAACGGCUCACCAAGGCGACGAUCAGUAGAUGGGCUGAGAGGAUGAUCAGCCACACUGGGACUGAGACACGGCCCAGAAUCCUACGGGAGGCAGGAGUGGGGAAUAUUGGAAAAUGGGCGCAAGCAUGAUCCAGCCAUGACGGGUGAGUGAUGAAGGCAUUAGGGUUGUAAAGCUCUUUUAUCCGGGACGAUAAUGACGGUACCGGAGGAAUAAGCCCCGGCUAACUUCGUG
rnacentral:rRNA from 1 species